rnacentral:rRNA from 1 species
GACGUAGGAGGCGAGCGUUGUCCGGAUUCAUUGGGCGUAAAGAGCGCGCAGGCGGCUUGGUAAGUCGGAUGUGAAAACCCGAGGCUCAACCUCGGGCGUGCAUCCGAAACUGCUCGGCUAGAGGUAGGUAGGGGAGAUCGGAAUUCCUGGUGUAGCGGUGAAAUGCGCAGAUAUCAGGAGGAACACCGGUGGCGAAGGCGGAUCUCUGGGCCUUACCUGACGCUGAGGAGCGAAAGCGUGGGGAGCAAACAGG